UCCCUGAUGGUGUAGUGGUCAGGAUUUGGUGCUUUCACCGCUGUGGCCUGGGUUCGAUUCCCAGUCAGGGAA